GUAUAGAACCUACCUUUUACUGGAGAAUAGCCCAGAGAAAUUUGGAUUAAUGCUCCAUAGUAUCAUUUUUUGGCAUCCUUAGAUGAUUAAAGAUUUAUCGGUAAAAGAUGGCUAUGCGUUCUAUUAGCUAGUUGGUAUGGUAACGGCAUACCAAGGCGACGAUAGAUAGGGGUCCUGAGAGGGAGAUCCCCCACACUGGUACUGAGACACGGACCAGACUCCUACGGGAGGCAGCAGUGAGGAAUAUUGGACAAUGGAGGCAACUCUGAUCCAGCCAUGCCGCGUGUAGGAAGACUGCCCUAUGGGUUGUAAACUACUUUUAUAGAGGAAGAAACCGCUCUACGUGUAGAGCUCUGACGGUACUCUACGAAUAAGGAUCGGCUAACUCCGUGCCAGCAGCCGCGGUAAUACGGAGGAUCCAAGCGUUAUCCGGAAUCAUUGGGUUUAAAGGGUCCGUAGCGGGUUUGUAAGUCAGUGGUGAAAGUUUUCGGCUCAACCGGAAAAUUGCCAUUGAUACUGCAAGUCUUGAAUCGUCGUGAAGUGGUUAGAAUGUGUAGUGUAGCGGUGAAAUGCAUAGAUAUUACACAGAAUACCGAUUGCGAAGCAGAUCACUAACAAUGUAUUGACGCUAAGGGACGAAAGCGUGGGUAGCGAACAGGAUUAGAUACCCUGGUAGUCCACGCCGUAAACGAUGGUUACUAGCUGUUCGGAUUUCGGUCUGAGUGGCUAAGCGAAAGUGAUAAGUAACCCACCUGGGGAGUACGUUCGCAAGAAUGAAACUCAAAGGA
rnacentral:rRNA from 1 species